rnacentral:rRNA from 1 species
GUAAGUUCCGACCUGCACGAAUGGCGUAAUGAUGGCCAGGCUGUCUCCACCCGAGACUCAGUGAAAUUGAACUCGCUGUGAAGAUGCAGUGUACCCGCGGCAAGACGGAAAGACCCCGUGAACCUUUACUAUAGCUUGACACUGAACAUUGAGCCUUGAUGUGUAGGAUAGGUGGGAGGCUUUGAAGUGUGGACGCCAGUCUGCAUGGAGCCGACCUUGAAAUACCACCCUUUAAUGUUUGAUGUUCUAACGUGGACCCGUAAUCCGGGUUGCGGACAGUGUCUGGUGGGUAGUUUGACUGGGGCGGUCUCCUCCUAAAGAGUAACGGAGGAGCACGAAGGUUGGCUAAUCCUGGUCGGACAUCAGGAGGUUAGUGCAAUGGCAUAAGCCAGCUUGACUGCGAGCGUGACGGCGCGAGCAGGUGCGAAAGCAGGUCAUAGUGAUCCGGUGGUUCUGAAUGGAAGGGCCAUCGCUCAACGGAUAAAAGGUACUCCGGGGAUAACAGGCUGAUACCGCCCAAGAGUUCAUAUCGACGGCGGUGUUUGGCACCUCGAUGUCGGCUCAUCACAUCCUGGGGCUGAAGUAGGUCCCAAGGGUAUGGCUGUUCGCCAUUUAAAGUGGUACGCGAGCUGGGUUUAGAACGUCGUGAGACAGUUCGGUCCCUAUCUGCCGUGGGCGCUGGAGAACUGAGGGGGGCUGCUCCUAGUACGAGAGGACCGGAGUGGACGCAUCACUGGUGUUCGGGUUGUCAUGCCAAUGGCACUGCCCGGUAGCUAAAUGCGGAAGAGAUAAGUGCUGAAAGCAUCUAAGCACGAAACUUGCCCCGAGAUGAGUUCUCCCUGAGACUUAGAGUCUCCUGAAGGAACGUUGAAGACGACGACGUUGAUAGGCCGGGUGUGUAAGCGCAGCGAUGCGUUGAGCUAACCGGUACUAAUGAACCGUGAGGCUUAACCUUACA